CCUGCCUCAGCCUCCCAAAGUGCUAGGAUUACAGAGGAGCCCAAGGUGGGCAUCAAGACCAUCAAGGUGUACUGCCAGCGCAUGCAGGAGGAGAACAUCACACGGGCUCUCAUCGUGGUGCAGCAGGGCAUGACACCCUCCGCCAAGCAGUCCCUGGUCGACAUGGCCCCCAAGUACAUCCUGGAGCAGUUUCUGCAGCAGGAGCUGCUCAUCAACAUCACGGAGCACGAGUCCCUGAGCACGUCGUCAUGACCAAGGAGGAGGUGACAGAGCUGCUGGCCCGAUAUAAGCUCCGAGAGAACCAGCUGCCCAGGAUCCAGGCGGGGGACCCUGUGGCGCGCUACUUUGGGAUAAAGCGUGGGCAGGUGGUGAAGAUCAUCCGGCCCAGUGAGACGGCUGGCAGGUACAUCACCUACCGGCUGGUGCAGUAGCUACCGCCUGACAGCCCCUAGAGGCGGACACACAGCGACCCCCAUCCCUGCAGGACAAACGCCCCUGCCCUGCCAGAAUCCGGCCCCCACAGCUCUCAC
rnacentral:lncRNA from 1 species